GAGAGAAGAAUCCAAAGCCCUCUUCCUGCAAAACCCAGGCUGCCCUUGGCUCUUCUCGUGGAACUGUAGUGCAGAUGAAGUCAUGUUUGCCGUCCAUUAUAAGAGAGGAGAAGCUGGCCGGCCCUCCUUCCACAUGCCUUGAUGGCCUUUUCCUUGUCUUCCCUGCCCUCCUUUUCCUUCCUUUCCUCCCUUUAUAUACUCAUCUCCUCCCCUUCCCUCCUCAUUUGCUGGAUGCGAGUCACAGUCUAUAAGUUGAUCCAUUCAAGUCUCUUUCCUUCUGUCUACUACCUGUAACUUCCCCACCUCUUUGAAUGGAUGAGAGAGCUAAGCGAUAGAAUAAAGAGCUACUUAACUUCGAAUCUCUGGGUUGGUCUUCGAUUCCAGUGACAUGGCUGGCGUACUUCUUAAAAGCAAGUGGAAUGUUGUAUAUGACGCUCGGUGGAACUUACGGGAUGGCUCUGCCUGGCUCCCUGAAUGCCAUCUAAGAUGGUUUGUCAAAAGGGUUGAUUCACUUCCUAGUUGGCAUUCGGGGAGUCAUGCAGACCUUUUAUCCAAUCAUGGCUACUAGUUUCAGAAUAUAUCUUGCGAGAGAAGAAAACCCUCGAGAUGAGCCCUAUCGCCUUGGCCUCUGAUGCCGAGACCUAUCACCUCUUGAGCGCUAGAUCGGUGGCAUUCUCAUACCCGACGAUCACUGAUAGCCGUUGGAGCAUCCCAAGGUCAGCGGUGAGGGCCAGAUCGA